rnacentral:tRNA from 1 species
GGGAAGUUGGCUCAGUGGUAGAGUACUUGCCUUGCAUGCAUGAGGCCUUGGGUUCGAUUCCUCAGCACCACA